UCAAUGCCCGGUUCCGCAAAAAAAAAAAAGGAAAAGAAAAUAUUUUAUGGAAUCUAAAUAGUUAACAAAUUUCAGGGGCCUGCACUGUGUUUGAACACUUUCUUAAAUUUUCAUGUUUCCUGUGAUCUAAGUUUUUCGUACUGUAGCUCGUAGAUCCCAGCUCUAGCUAUUGUUCAGUGUUGACUGUCCUACAAGGAAAUUACACAUAUUUGGAAAACAUACACGAUGGAAGCCAGCUGUCUAAAACAUUAGAGGCCUGACUCCAAACAGAAUAUUCUUCUAGGCCAUAAUUCAGGCCACUCAUGUUUAAACUCAGUAAUGACAGGGAAAUUCCAAAACAGAGGAGCAAAUUCAAAUGCUAAAUUUAAUCCUGAUAAGGGGGUUUGUUGCAAUAUAUUGACUCUAUCCCUCACAUUAUGAGCAUGUGACAGAGAAAUAGCCUUUGUGACAACUGAGAAUGACAGUCUGAGCUGAAUAGACAACUUUAUUGAUAUAUAUAAAUAUAUAUAUUUAAUGAAAUAU